CUUUGAAGGCUACAUGAAUACUGGAUAUUUAACAGCGGCCUAAUUGAGGAUGUAUUUGUUUAGCUCUUAUUUUAAGUCCGAUUUGAGUGUGUUUGUACCUCAAGAACAGUGAGGACCAGCUUCAUUCAAAGCUAACAGAGCGGAUCAGGAUUACAAGACUGAAACACAGCAGCGCUCGGCCAUGUCUAUCACUGUUCUUUUAAAGAAGAUAUAUAACCUGCCAGGGAAAUAUGACCGGAAAGUGGAAUUGUCUUUUAGAGGUUUUACUCACAAAACCAGGAUCCUUCAGUGUGAGAAUAUAGCCAUCUUCAAUGAGCACUUCAGAUGGCCUCACUAUGGGAAGGUUGAGAGGGAUGAAAUUCUGUCAAUCAGCAUCUACAACUGCAGUAAGAUGUUCAG